rnacentral:rRNA from 1 species
AUGAAUCAAGGUCCUUCUAAUCUCCUAGGAUCCCAUCAUCCGUUCACGCGCCCGAGCCGACUAGGUUCGCCGUUCGCGUCGGCCACGCCGACGCCCGUACGUCUCGCAAAGCUCACCACAUGCCACCCACGUCGCCACGCCGCCGCCGCGCGCGCUCUCUACGCGUCAACCACGACCAGGAAGAGCCCGAGACGCCCCGCCUCGCGCGCGGGCGCAUGUGCCGGCCGGCGAGCGCGUGCAUGGGCGCGAGCUCGCUCGGUCGGUCGAUCGGGCACGUCGCGCACCCCAGCCCCGUGGCCUCCGGGUGCCGCCGGCCGCGGGAGGCAGCAGCCGCCGAUCGGUGACAAGGACAAAGGGGACAAGGCGAGCAGAAAUCAUGUGCCAACUUUCUGGCGCCCUUUCCCGUUGAAGAAUAGAAAGGUCACCGUGGGAUCCAGGCCGCCGUUUGUGCGCUGA